GACGAACGCUGGCGGCACGCUUAAAACAUGCAAGUCGAACGUGAAGCCCGGGCUUGCCCGGGUGGAAAGUGGCGAACGGGUGCGUAACACGUGAGCAACCUGCCCCGAAGACUGGGAUAACACCGGGAAACCGGUGCUAAUACCGGAUGCCUUCACCAUGUCGCAUGGCGAGGUGAAGAAAUGGAUUCCGCUUUGGGAUGGGCUCGCGGCCUAUCAGCUUGUUGGUGGGGUAAUGGCCUACCAAGGCAACGACGGGUAGCUGGUCUGAGAGGAUGUCCAGCCACACUGGGACUGAGACACGGCCCAGACUCCUACGGGAGGCAGCAGUUAGGAAUCUUGCGCAAUGGGCGAAAGCCUGACGCAGCGAUGCCGCGUGCGGGAUGAAGGCCCUCGGGUCGUAAACCGCUUUCAGCAGGGACGAUUAUGACGGUACCUGCAGAAGAAGCCCCGGCCAACUACGUGCCAGCCGCCACAGUAACAC
rnacentral:rRNA from 1 species